rnacentral:misc_RNA from 1 species
GAAAUGCGAUAAGUAAUGUGAAUUGCAGAAUUCAGUGAAUCAUCGAAUCUUUGAACGCAUCUUGCACUCCUUGGUAUUCCGAGGAGUAUGCCUGUUUGAGUGUCAUGAAAUUCUCAACUAUAGCAUUUAGUUAUGCUUAUAGAUUGGAUUUGGGAUUUUGCUGGCUACUUAAUGUUGUCAGCUAUCCUUAAAUGCAUUAGCAGAGCAACAUUGUCUGAUUGGUGUGAUAAUUAUCUGCACUAUAAUGAUAAUGUAUUGGUUCAGCUUCUAAUUUGACAUGAUAUUUGACAAUUUGACCUCAAAUCAGGUAGGACUACCCGCUGAACUUAA